rnacentral:rRNA from 1 species
UACGAAGGGUGCAAGCGUUACUCGGAAUUACUGGGCGUAAAGCGUGCGUAGGUGGUUCGUUAAGUCUGAUGUGAAAGCCCUGGGCUCAACCUGGGAAUGGCAUUGGAUACUGGCGGACUGGAGUGCGGUAGAGGAUGGCGGAAUUCCCGGUGUAGCAGUGAAAUGCGUAGAGAUCGGGAGGAACAUCCGUGGCGAAGGCGGCCAUCUGGACCAGCACUGACACUGAGGCACGAAAGCGUGGGGAGCAAACAGGG